ACGCCAGAUACUGGUCUGGAGAGGGUUGGAUGGAGGGGUGGUUCCAGGCGUUGCCAUUAGCUACUGAAACAAGAUAACUCUGCUCAUGAGAUGUUGUUUACAUUCUAGAAUUGGAGGGAGUUGUUUGUUUGCCAAUGUAAAAUUUGCUAACUUUAAGUUAUCUUCCUUACUAUAACAUUAAAGCUCUACUAUUCGUUACUUACUAAGGAAAAGUACUGUUCAGUGGCUGUAUACUUAGAUUGAGGUUUAAAGUUGUGUUUUAUAUUAAUGAAUAUGGUAAAUGAAUAAUUUGCCAUAUCUUCUAAUAAGAGUGAAAAUGAAUCUAUAUGCAACAUUACUGUUAUUCAUUCAUUUUGGGAAAGUUAAUUGCAACUGUGUGGUUCAGGGAUUUAGUGC
rnacentral:lncRNA from 1 species